rnacentral:rRNA from 1 species
UACGUAGGUGGCGAGCGUUGUCCGGAUUUACUGGGCGUAAAGGGCGUGCAGGCGGUUUGUUAAGUGCAGGGUGAAAGCUCCCGGCUCAACUGGGAGAGGUCCUUGCAUACUGGCGAACUCGAGGGAGGCAGAGGAAAGUGGAAUUCCCGGUGUAGUGGUGAUAUGCGUAGAUAUCUGGAGGAACACCGGUGGCGAAGGCGGCAUCCUGGACCGGUAUUGACGCUGAUGCGCGAAAGCCAGGGGAGCAAACGGG